rnacentral:rRNA from 1 species
GUGAGGAAUAUUGGUCAAUGGGCGGAAGCCUGAACCAGCCAUCCCGCGUGAAGGAAGGCGGCCCUAUGGGUUGUAAACUUCUUUAGUACAUGAAGAACAGGAUCUACGCGUAGGUUUAUGACGGUAAUGUACAAAAAAGCAUCGGCUAACUCCGUGCCAGCAGCCGCGGUAAUACGGAGGAUGCGAGCGUUAUCCGGAUUCAUUGGGUUUAAAGGGUACGUAGGUGGCCCUGUAAGUCAGUGGUGAAAAUCUGCCGCUUAACGGUAGGUGUGCCAAUGAUACUGCGGGGCUUGAGUACAGUUGAAGUAGGUGGAAUGUGUAGUGUAGCGGUGAAAUGCAUAGAUAUUACACAGAACUCCGAUUGCGAAGGCAUCUUACUAAGCUGAAACUGACACUGAUGUACGAAAGCGUGGGGAUCGAACAGGAUUAGAAACCCCAGUAGUCC